GGGGAUGUAUUUGGUUUCGACAGGGUUUUAGAAAUAUAAAUAGCGAGUAGUGGUGUGCAAGUUCCACUUAAAACAGGCACAUUUAAAUAUAAACGCUGAUAAUAACGAAGAAUUAGCAUACGCUGCCUAAGUUGCGGCGACGUCUUACUUUUGAAACCUACGACAAAAGAUAAGGCGACGAAUUAGUAGGAAACGAAGUUAACAAAUUCUCUUUUUGUUAAUGGGAUUUUUUAAGAGAUAUCUAAAAUAAAGUUUGUUUGUUAACGAUAUUUUAGAGAAUUUUAAAUAACAAACUGCACUCGGAGAAGUUUAUAUGGAAAAAAUUUUGGACGCGAGUUCAACUCUCGCCAUCUCCACCA
rnacentral:tmRNA from 1 species